UACGGGGGGAGCAAGCGUUGUUCGGAUUUACUGGGCGUAAAGGCGCGUAGGCGGCCACCGCAAGUCGACUGUGAAAUCUCCGGGCUUAACCCGGAAAGGUCAGCCGAUACUGCGGGGCUAGAGUGCAGAAGGGGCAACUGGAAUUCUCGGUGUAGCGGUGAAAUGCGUAGAUAUCGAGAGGAACACCUGCGGCGAAGGCGG
rnacentral:rRNA from 1 species